CUGUCCGUCGCCGGGUGCGGUGGCGCGCGCCUGUAAUCCAAGUCACCGGGAGGCUGAGUCUGGAGGAUCGUUUGAGUUCAGGAGCUCUGAGCUGCAGUGGACUAUGUCGAUCGGGUGUCCGCACUAAGUUUGGUAUCGAUAUGCUGAUCCUGGGGGAGCCCGGGACCAGCAGGUCGUCUAAGGAAGGGUGAACCGGCCCAGGUCGGAAACGGAGCAGGUCAAAGCCCUCGUGCCGCUCAGUAGUGGGUUCGCGCCCGUGAAUAGACGCUGUAGUCCAGCCUGAGUGAUACAGCGAGACUCAGACUUUUGACCACUGACUA
rnacentral:SRP_RNA from 1 species